AGAGAGGGUUUGUUGAUAUAUUAAUGAAUCCCUGAGAUGACUAGGUGAUAGAGACAGAGAGGGUUUGUAUAUAUAUUAAUGAAUCCCUGAGAUGACUAGGUGAUAGAGACAGAGAGGGUUUGUAUAUAUAUUAAUGAAUCCCUGAGAUGACUAGGUGAUAGAGACAGAGAGGGUUUGUAUAUAUAUUAAUGAAUCCCUGAGAUGACUAGGUGAUAGAGACAGAGAGGGUUUGUAUAUAUAUUAAUGAAUCCCUGAGAUGACUAGGUGAUAGAGACAGAGAGGGGUUUGUUGAUAUAUUAAUGAAUCCCUGAGAUGACUAGGUGAUAGAGACAGAGAGGGGUUUGUUGAUAUAUUAAUGAAUCCCUGAGAUGACUAGGUGAUAGAGACAGAGAGGGUUUGUUGAUAUAUUAAUGAAUCCCUGAGAUGACUAGGUGAUAGAGACAGAGAGGGGUUUGUUGAUAUAUUAAUGAAUCCCUGAGAUGACUAGGUGAUAGAGACAGAGAGGGGUUUGUUGAUAUAUUAAUGAAUCCCUGAGAUGACUAGGUGAUAGAGACAGAGAGGGGUUUGUUGAUAUAUUAAUGAAUCCCUGAGAUGACUAGGUGAUAGAGACAGAGAGGGGUUUGUUGAUAUAUUAAUGAAUCCCUGAGAUGACUAGGUGAUAGAGACAGAGAGGGGUUUGUUGAUAUAUUAAUGAAUC